AGACCCGAAACCCGGUGAUCUAGCCAUGGGCAGGUUGAAGGUUGGGUAACACUAACUGGAGGACCGAACCGACUAAUGUUGAAAAAUUAGCGGAUGACCUGUGGCUGGGGGUGAAAGGCCAAUCAAACCGGGAGAUAGCUGGUUCUCCCCGAAAGCUAUUUAGGUAGCGCCUCGUGAAUUCAUCUCCGGGGGUAGAGCACUGUUUCGGCUAGGGGGCCAUCCCGGCUUACCAACCCGAUGCAAACUGCGAAUACCGGAGAAUGUUAUCACGGGAGACACACGGCGGGUGCUAACGUCCGUCGUGAAGAGGGAAACAACCCAGACCGCCAGCUAAGGUCCCAAAGUCAUGGUUAAGUGGGAAACGAUGUGGGAAGGCCCAGACAGCCAGGAUGUUGGCUUAGAAGCAGCCAUCAUUUAAAGAAAGCGUAAUAGCUCACUGGUCGAGUCGGCCUGCGCGGAAGAUGUAACGGGGCUAAACCAUGCACCGAAGCUGCGGCAGCGAACGUAUCACUUAAAGCGAUUCAGCGGGUUACGAUUG
rnacentral:rRNA from 1 species